GUUUCUUCUUGUGUUUAGAUUUGACUAUGAAGGUUGCCUUUUAUCAACCAGACAAAUAUAAAACUAAGAAUUCAUCUUAUGCAUACAAAAUUGAGAAAAAGAGUCAUUUAGUGGACAGGAAAGAAGCCUUUGGCUAUAAUCCAUCAGCUUUGGGUCAUAUGUGGAGUCCCACGACUAGGAAUGAUCACAAGUUGACUGGGAUUUUAAAUUAUGUUAUGUCUAUAAACAAUUUUUAAGUAACUCUCCUGAAACUUCGGGUUUGAUGUAAUCCUAAUUUCAAUAUCCUUGUUAUAUAAUUGAAAUUGAUUUUGCUCUUUAACAUUUUCACAAUCUGUUGCUUUUAAAAUUAGAUUGUUUGUAUGCACUUAUUUUAUUAAUUGUUUGGAUAUUCUUGCAGGGGAUAGCUCAGUUUGGAAACCAAAAUGCUGGUUUUCAACCUACUCAAAAUGGUGAUAAUGAGAAGGUGAACCCAGAUGCAGAAAUCUUAGCUCUUUCACAUACUAAAUGAAAAAAGUUGGAGUCAAAAGUUAAGGAGGAUUGCACAAAAAAUAAACUAAAAAAAUGGAAGAGGCAGGAUAUUAUGUACCCAUUGUAAGGAGAUGUUAGUAUAUUCAGACAAUAGUAAAGCCACAAUCCUCAAAAAUCAUUUAUUAAAUUUGAAGUUUAAAAUUAAAUCAAAUUUUGAAGUUGGAAAAAAUUAAGAAGUGAUUGGCCAUUAGAGCCACGGAGCAGCCACACAAGAAGCACGGGGAACCGCCAAGCCGGUUCAUCGGCAAGGAAGAAGAAGGGGAAGUCUGAUAAAAAUCAGCAAAACCCUAAGGUGUUUGCUUUUACUCCAUCUGUGCAAGCGAAGAGAUUGCAGUCGCAGGCUGUUGAGAAAGAGCAAUGGAGGCUUCACAUUCCAACUAUAGACCGUUCUUAUGGUGAACCACCGCCAUAUGUUGUGGUAGUCCAGGAUCGCACCAGGAUUGUUUACAUACUGAUUCUUUUGUUGGAAAGUCUUCGGUUAUCAAGUCGCUUAUAAAGCAUUAUACAAAGCAUAAUGUUCCUGAGGUCUGAGGACCGAUUACUAUU